rnacentral:rRNA from 1 species
GCUUGUCUCAAAGAUUAAGCCAUGCAUGUCUCAGUAUAAGCUUCUAUACGACGAAACUGCGAAUGGCUCAUUAAAACAGUUACAGUUUAUUUGAUGGUCAUUCUUUACAUGGAUACCCGUGGUAAUUCUAGAGCUAAUACAUGCGUCAAAACCCAACUUCUGGGAGGGUUGUAUUUAUUAGAUGGAAACCAAUGCGGGGCAACCCGGUAUAUGGUGAUUCAUAAUAACUUUCGGAUCGAUCUUCGGAUCGAUGCAUCAUUCAAGUUUCUGCCCUAUCAGCUUUGGAUGGUAGGGUAUUGGCCUACCAUGGCUUUAACGGGUAACGGAGAAUUAGGGUUCGAUUCCGGAGAGGGAGCCUGAGAAAUGGCUACCACAUCCAAGGAAGGCAGCAGG